rnacentral:rRNA from 1 species
UGGGGAAUAUUGCACAAUGGGCGAAAGCCUGAUGCAGCGACGCCGCGUGAGGGAUGACGGCCUUCGGGUUGUAAACCUCUUUCAGUAGGGACGAAGCGCAAGUGACGGUACCUGCAGAAGAAGCACCGGCUAACUACGUGCCAGCAGCCGCGGUAAUACGUAGGGUGCGCGCGUUGUCCGGAAUUACUGGGCGUAAAGAGCUCGUAGGCGGUUUGUCACGUCGUCUGUGAAAUCCUAGGGCUUAACCCUGGACGUGCAGGCGAUACGGGCUGACUUGAGUACUACAGGGGAGACUGGAAUUUCUGGUGUAGCGGUUGAAUGCACAGAUAUCAGGAAGGACACCGAUGGCGAAGGCAGGUCUCUGGGUAGUAACUGACGCUGAGGAGCGAAAGCAUAGGUAGCGAACAGG